rnacentral:rRNA from 1 species
UACGUAGGGGGCAAGCGUUGUCCGGAAUUAUUGGGCGUAAAGCGCGCGUAGGCGGCUUUGUAAGUUAGAGGUGAAAGCCCGGGGCUCAACCCCGGAACUGCCUUUAAGACUGCAUCGCUUGAAUCCAGGAGAGGUGAGUGGAAUUCCGAGUGUAGAGGUGAAAUUCGUAGAUAUUCGGAAGAACACCAGUGGCGAAGGCGGCUCACUGGCCUGGUAUUGACGCUGAGGUGCAAAAGCGUGGGGAGCAAACAGG